rnacentral:rRNA from 1 species
AUUGAACGCUGGCGGCGUGCCUAACACAUGCAAGUCGAGCGGCAGCGCGGGAGCAAUCCUGGCGGCGAGCGGCGGACGGGUGAGUAAUGCUUGGGAAUCUGCCUGUUAGUGGGGGACAACCCGGGGAAACUCGGGCUAAUACCGCAUACGCACUACGGUGGAAAGCCGGGGACCGCAAGGCCUGGCGCUAACAGAUGAGCCCAAGUCGGAUUAGCUAGUUGGUAGGGUAACGGCCACCAAGGCGACGAUCCGUAACUGGUCUGAGAGGACGACCAGUCACACCGGAACUGAGACACGGUCCGGACUCCUACGGGAGGCAGCAGUGGGGAAUAUUGGAC